AUUAUAAUGAUGAGAUGAGAAUUUUAUAUUUGAAAUGAAAAUUCUUUAUAGCCAAACACUACCUUAAUUACUGCAGUGUGGAUUUUAGAGGCAGCAGUUUUGGAAGACAACCUGUCUAUCCCAUCCCUCUUUCAGCUGGACUGAAAGUGGCAUGAGCUUUGGAUGGUUCAUCUUUAAUGCAGUCCACAUUGGCCCCAAAGGAAAAUCUUUCAUGGAUGUUCUUUUCAAAGGGAUUAGUCAUAACCAGAGGGAGGCAUCACAGCAACAAAAUAGCGUUGGUGGAGAAAAUAUUAAAUAUAUGCCAUUGGCUUGUAUUUUGUUCUUGCAUAUGUAUUUUAUCAACAUUAUUUAACUUUUUUCUUGUAAAAAUUUGAAUUGGGGAUAGAGUUUUUUUAAAAAAGAAAAUCUAGAAAAAAAAAAAGUAAC